rnacentral:rRNA from 1 species
GACGAACGCUGGCGGCGUGCUUAAUACAUGCAAGUCGAGCGAGGUCCAUCUGGUGGCAACACCAGUGAAGGCCGAGCGGCGAACGGGUGAGUAACACGUGAGCAACCUGCCCCGAAGUCUGGAAUAACAUCGGGAAACCGGUGCUAAUACCGGAUCGCCCCACCUGACCGCAUGAUCGGGUGAGGAAAGAUUUAUCGCUUCGGGAGGGGCUCGCGGCCUAUCAGCUAGNGGUGGGUAACGGCCUACCAAGGCAUCGACGGGUAGCUGGUCUGAGAGGACGACCAGCCACACUGGGACUGAGACACGGCCCAGACUCCUACGGGAGGCAGCAGUAGGGAAUCUUGCGCAAUGGGCGAAAGCCUGACGCAGCAACGCCGCGUGGGGGA